GUCCUCGCUUCGGCAGCACAUAUACUAAAAUUGGAACAGUAGAGAGAAGAUUAGCAUGACCCCUGCAGAAGGAUGACACACAAAUUUGUGAAGCAUUCAAUAUAUAU
rnacentral:snRNA from 1 species